rnacentral:rRNA from 1 species
UACGUAGGGGGCAAGCGUUGUCCAGAUUUAUUGGGCGUAAAGAGCGUGUAGGCGGCUAUGCAGGUCCGCUGUGAAAACUCGAGGCUCAACCUCGAGACGCCGAUGGAAACCAUUUGGCUAGAGUCCGGAAGAGGAGAGUGGAAUUCCUGGUGUAGCGGUGAAAUGCGCAGAUAUCAGGAAGAACACCCGUGGCUAAGGCGGCUCUCUAGUACGGUACUGACGCUGAGACGCGAAAGCGUGGGGAGCGAACAGG